rnacentral:rRNA from 1 species
GACGAACGCUGGCGGCGUGCUUAACACAUGCAAGUCGAACGGUGAAGCGCCUUCCUUUUUGGUGGGUGUGGAUGAGUGGCGAACGGGUGAGUAACACGUGAGAAACCUGCCCCCUUCUUCUGGAUAACCGCAUGAAAGUGUGGCUAAUACGGGAUAUUCUGGGUCUGUCGCAUGAUGGGUCUGGGAAAGAUAUUGUUUCGGUGGGGGAUGGGCUCGCGGCCUAUCAGCUUGUUGGUGGGGUGAUGGCCUACCAAGGCGGUGACGGGUAGCCGGCCUGAGAGGGUGGACGGUCACACUGGGACUGAGACACGGCCCAGACUCCUACGGGAGGCAGCAGUGGGGAAUAUUGCACAAUGGGCGCAAGCCUGAUGCAGCGACGCCGCGUGAGGGAUGGAGGCCUUCGGGUUGUGAACCUCUUUCGCCAGUGAAGCAGGCCUGCCUCGUUUGUGGGUGGGUUGACGGUAGCUGGAGAAGAAGCGCCGGCUAACUACGUG